GCAGCUGAUCAGCCAUGCCGCGUGUGUGAAGAAGGUCUUCGGAUUGUAAAGCACUUUAAGUUGGGAGGAAGGGCUGUAGGUUAAUACCUUGCUGUUUUGACGUUACCGACAGAAUAAGCACCGGCUAACUUCGUGCCAGCAGCCGCGGUAAUACAA
rnacentral:rRNA from 1 species